ACAAGAGCUAGCUCCAGGACAGU
rnacentral:piRNA from 1 species